rnacentral:rRNA from 1 species
CCUACGGGGGGCAGCAGUGGGGAAUCUUCCGCAAUGGGCGAAAGCCUGACGGAGCAACGCCGCGUGAUCGAAUGAAGGCCUUCGGGUUGUAAAGAUCUGUUGACAGGGACGAAUAAGCAAUGCGAAUAGUUUUGUGUAUGACGGUACCUGUUUAGAACGCUCCGGCUAACUCCGUGCCAGCAGCCGCGGUAAUACGGAGGAUGCGAGCGUUAUCCGGAUUUAUUGGGUUUAAAGGGUGCGAAGGCGGAAGAUCAAGUCAGCGGUAAAAUUGAGAGGCUCAACCUCUUCGAGCCGUUGAAACUGGUUUUCUUGAGUGAGCGAGAAGUAUGCGGAAUGCGUGGUGUAGCGGUGAAAUGCAUAGAUAUCACGCAGAACUCCGAUUGCGAAGGCAGCAUACCGGCGCUCAACUGACGCUCAUGCACGAAAGUGUGGGUAUCGAACAGGAUUAGAUACCCCGGUAGUC